rnacentral:rRNA from 1 species
GAUGAACGCUGGCGGCGUGCCUAACACAUGCAAGUCGAGCGAACAGAUGAGGAUCUUGCUUCUCUGACGUUAGCGGCGGACGGGUGAGUAACACGUGUAUAACCUACCUAUAAGACUGGGAUAACUUCGGGAAACCGGAGCUAAUACCGGAUAAUAUAUUGAACCGCAUGGUUCAAUAGUGAAAGACGGUUUUGCUGACCCUUAGAGAUAGAUCCGGGCCGCAUUAGCUGGUUGGUAAGGUAACGGCUUACCAAGGCAACGAUGCGUAGCCGACCUGAGAGGAUGAUCGGCCACACUGGAACUGAGACACGGUCCAGACUCCUACGGGAGGCAGCAGUAGGGAAUCUUGGGCAAUGGGCGAAAGCCUGAUGCAGCCACGCCGCGUGAGUGAAGAAGGUCUUCGGAUCGUAAAACUCUUUUAGUAGGGAAGAACAAAAGUGUAAGUAACUAUGCAUGUCUUGACGUUACCUAAUGAAAAAGCCCCGGCUAACUACGUG